AUUUUGUCCUCCACCGAGGCAACUCCCAACUUCUCCUGAAUAAUUUCAUUUCCCACUUUAUCUUUCUUAGUAUGUCCACACAUCUAUUGCAAUAUUCUCAUCUCCUCCAUCUUCAACUUUUGGAUAUGAGAGUUCUUAAAUGUCAACACUUUGCUCUAUAUAACACAGCGGAUCGGACUACUAAUGUGAAGUUAGUAUGUUGUAGCAAAUAUACCUCUACUCUGCUUAUUACUCAAUCAUUGAAAACAUUGACACAGGUCAAUGCCCUUUGUUCAACCUUUCCAUCAAUGGAGUCCACACCAAAACACCAGCAAUUACUUCACCUCCUCUUAUUAACAACUCUAAUUUACUUAUCAUCAGCAAUAUCUAUCCAAUCUUCCUUCCCACAAGAAGCUUUGCCAACAAAAUCAGGCUACUUAACAAUCAAUUCAACAUCAGGAUCAUCCAUAUUCUACACUUUUUACGAAGCACAGAAUCCAAGAACGCCAAUCUACGACACCCCAAUUGUCAUCUGGCUUCAAGGUGGUCCUGGAUGUUCAUCAAUGCUCGGAAACUUUUACGAACUUGGUCCCUUUCGCGUUUCUUUUUCAUUGAGGCAUAACGUCGAACACCUUACGCUCGUAAGGAAUUCGGGGUCUUGGAAUCGUAUAUUUGGGGUACUUUUCAUUGAUAAUCCAAUUGGAACGGGGUUUAGUAUUGCUGGAAGUCCAGAUGAAGUGCCUAGAAAUCAACAUGAUGUUGCUAAGCAUCUGUUUAUUGCUGUUAGGGAGUUUAUUGGAUUGGAAAAAUCGUUCGAAAAUCGACCAAUUUAUGCUACUGGUGAAAGUUAUGCUGGUAAAUAUGUGCCAGCAUUUGGUUACUAUACAUUGAAGAAGAAUGCACGUUUGGCGAAAUCAAGACGGUUGAAUUUGGCUGGAGUUGGUAUUGGUAAUGGACUAACUGAUCCCGAAAUUCAAGUAGGGACACAUGCUUUGAAUGCGUAUUAUUCGGGGUUGAUUAAUGGAAAGCAAAAGAUGGAAUUGGAGAAACUUCAAGAGGAGGCGAUUAGGUUGACGAGGAAUGGGAAUUGGAGCGAGGCAACGAGUGCUAGAUUGAGGGUCUUGGGUACAUUGAGUAACAUGACGGGGCUAGCGACAUUGUACGAUUUUAGAAGGCUAAAGCCUUAUGAAGAUGAUUUGGUGGGUAAAUUUUUAAGUAGUGUAGAGAUUAAGAGGGCUUUAAAAGCGAAAGAGUCGAUAAGUUUUGAGGUAUGUAGUGAUUUAGUAGGCAAUGCAUUGAACGAUGACGUGAUGAAAAGUGUGAGGUACAUGGUGGAGUUCUUGGUUAAGAAUACGAAGGUGUUGUUAUACCAGGGGCAGUGUGAUUUGAGAGAUGGAGUGGUGUCGGCUGAGGUGUGGAUGAAGAAGAUGAAGUGGGAGGGAAUCGGAAAGUUUUUAGAGGCGGAGCGGAAUGUUUGGAGUGUGAAUGACGAGCUUGCUGGAUAUGUGCAGAAGUGGGAAAAUUUGACUCAUGUUGUGGUAAUGAACGCGGGGCAUCUUGUGCCUACCGACCAGGCAGUGAAUUCUCAGGCGAUGAUUGAAGAUUGGGUAUUGGAAAAGGGAUUGUUUGCCACGGGCCAGGUUAUGCAAAAGCCAAGCCAUAUUGGUACCUGUUCCAUAGGAUAGAUGUGAUUGUAUGAAAAAUAGUAAAUUGUGGAGGGGCAUAUUGAAGAUUAGUAGGUAAUGACACCAUUUUCAUGGUAAACGGAAAGACAUAGUUUACCACCAAGAUAAGCAGUAUCUAUCCAAUCUUCCUUCCCUGAAGAAGUCUCACCAACAAAAUCUGGGUACUUUAACAGUUAAUUCAACAUCAGGAUCAUCCAUAUUUUUCUCUUUUUACGAAGCACAGAAACCAAGAACUCCAAUUCCCAACACCCCAAUUCUCAUUUGGCUUCAGGUUCAGGGUGGUCCUGGUUGUUCUUCAAUGCUUGGAAACUUCUAUGAACUUGGCCUUUUUUCGCAUUUCGUCUUCUUUGAGUCAAAAUGUUGAACAAGUUGUGCUCGAAAGGAAUCCGGGGUCUUGGAAUCAAAUAUUUGGAGUUGUUUUUCUUGAUAAUCCUAUUGGUACUGGAUUUAGUAUUGCUUCGAGACCAGAAGAGAUACCAAGAAUCCAGCAUGAUGUUGCUAAGCAUAUUUUUAUUGCUAUGAAGGAGUUUGUUGGGUUGGAUAAGUUGUUCGAAAAUCGGCCAAUUUAUGUUACUGGUGAAAGUUAUGCUGGUAAAUAUGUGCCAGCAUUUGGCUACUAUACAUUAAAAAAGAAUGAGGGAUUGCCUAAAUCACGACGGUUGAAUUUGGCUGGAGUUGAUAUUGGGAAUUGGGAGAGAUGAAGGGUGAUAGAAAAUUUUUAUUGUCCUGAUUUCUGUACUGUAUAUCAAGGUUAGGUGAAGUUGUCCUAUGUAAAAAAUUGAUGGACAGCGAUGUUAAUUCAUGGGGGAAAGGUUUAAAAGUAGUGAAGGAUGAACGUGACAGCACUAAUGCUCCGAGGAGAAGUCUGAAUCCAUUUCUUGCUGUACCGGCUACUUUAUGUGUGGAGGACGAAUUAAAUAAUGUUUUGCUAUCAGUAGGGACUGGUACUUCUUUGUAGUUGACAAGGGACUGCAAGCUGGAGACACCAUCAAGAUCUACAGAAAGCCAUCUAAUAUCCCAAUUAUCAAUGCUGAUUACAAUAUUAGAAUCGAGCGCAAUGAGGCCUCAUCCACAGACAGUAACUAAGUCUCAUGAUAUGGAUCGAGUAUAUGACCGAUAUUGUCAUCUAAUCUUGUGAACGGCUCCUCUGAUAUUACAUAUACUAGUCUGAUAUUACAGUCUUGAGGGAAAACUAAUGAAAUACUUGGUGAAACUUUUAGUUGAUUUCUUUACAUUUUAUAUGGUUACCCUCUUAAUUCUACAAGUUGCUUCUCUGUAGUAAGAGUUUAAAUUUUAGGGGUAAGGGAAUGUUGUUGUACGUACUUGUUAGAGUGUAGUUUUGCGUACAAUGAAGAAUGGUUAACUUUUUUUAGAAUCUGCCGUAGAAGCUUAAUAUUGAUCGAGACUUUGGGUGAGAGAAUUGAUUUUGUGCAAAGGGAAAAUAUGUGUAUUGAACUGUGUAACCUAUACAUACAUUACGCCUCUAACAAUCAGUAUAUGCCAACUUACCCCUAACUAUUUAUUCC